rnacentral:lncRNA from 1 species
GGGCCGGCCGGGAAAGGUCGGGGAAGGCGGGCGCGGGGAACUGCCUGGCUCCGGAGCUGCGCUCCCCGCCCGCCCAGAGCGGCCCGCCGAGGCCCGGCCUCUCCUCUCCCGGCUUCGGGACCGAGCGGUCGCCCCGCAGUCGACCGCGGCGGGGGUAGUGGCGCGCCCGGGGCUGCGCUGCGGGAGCGGAUUUCAGGCCCUCGGGGCCCCGCGGCGCGUCCCCUCUUUGGAAGUCACCGAAUGGCCAGGCCUGGAGCCCUUCAGCAAGCCCAGCGCGCCCGGCGCUCUCCCGAGGACGCCCGCGCCAGUCCCCACCAGCUUCUGUCUGUCCCCCAGGGUCCCAGGGGAGCGGCCCUGGGCCGGCGCAAAGGCGGGCUGGGUGGACCCCGGCGCGGGCAGGACCCAGGCCGCAGACCAAGGACCUGCGCGGGGGCCGAGCCCGGGGCACCGCCUCCAGGCCGCCUGCGGGACUCCAUGGCAACUCCGGACCCAGGGAGGUGCUUGCCCCGGAGGCUGAGUCGCGCCUUCCAUAUAUGGGAUCCAGCUGGGCCCUCCUUAGAAGUCUGAGAAUAACGAUAUUAAUAAUGCAAGGCUUCAGUUGUGAAUGAUUCAUACUCCCUGUCCCCAGCUCCUCCACACACACGCGCCGCUGGCACCUGUUUGGGCCUGGCCAGGCACCCCCUGGGUCCGCGGUGUCACCACCCUGCCUUGGCAAACGAGGGCAGUAAUAGGAAUCCGAGGAGCACCGUCACUGGGUCGUUUCCGGGUGCCUGGCACUGUGCUACCUGCCUGGUGCUUUACCUCUAUCUCCUUUCCUCCCCAUAACUAACAUUUUGCAGAUAAGGAAGCUGAGGAUCGGCAGGGUUACAAUAUCACACCCAGCAGGUGAGUCGCGGAGCUGGGAUUCCCACCCAGCUGUAACCACCAGCAUCCCUCACUUCCAGAGAUGGGUGGCAUUUCCCAAAGAUCACCUAGGGGAGGCUUCAUCGUACAAUCCCGUUCUGGAUGACGGAGUGGGCAGAGAGCUGCUGCGAGAGCGUUAUGGAUGACGGAAUGGGCAGAGAGCUGCUGCGAGAGCCUGGAGACCAGAAGGUGAUGGCAGAGUGACAAGUUCAAAACACAAAACUUGUCUUCUGUCUGCCUGCAUUAAAAAUCCCAAAUGGACAGUUCCUGGCUGUGCAUGAAACCACAGUCAAGUUAUUUAACCUAUCUGAGCCUCAAUAUUCUCAUCUGCGAAAUGGGUAUAACAGGAGAACCCACUUCAUAAAACUGAAGAUUAGAUAGACUAUGCAUGUAACAUGCUUAGCUUGGGAUCUAGCACAUGGUAAAAAUCAUUAAGUCACUGAUGGCCCCCGAGGGCCCUUCCUGCCUACGUGCCUGCGACAGCCUGCCCACAGCUCCCCCGCCCUCCUGUCUCACCCCUUCAGUCCAUGCUUUGUGAUCUGGUCUGUCCCCACCCUACUCCAGCUCCAGCUACAGCCGCUCUGAUUCUUCAAUCCCUCUCACCCACCCCUGCUUCUCUUAUGCUGGUAUUUCAAAGACAUGAAAAUGUGCUUGAUGCCUGGAUCACCCGUCCUCUCAUUUCACCACCACCAGCAACCUAAGAACUUCUCCUUCUCAUCAUGGACUGCCCAACUCCAGGAAGGCUCCCCUGCAUACCCAUGCUGGCCAGGGGGGCCCUCCUCAGUGUCCUCAAGGCACUCGUUCCUCCCCAUCAGACCAGGGCAUCAGGACAUUGGCCUUGACAGCCUGUCAGAAGCAGCAGAAACCCGUAGCCCCUGCACAUCUGCCUCCUGCUGUGGAAGGGCCUUGGGCGCCACGUGCCCUCAUGGGACUCCCAGCCACAGUGACAUGAGGGUGCGUGAGAAGGAUGGGAGGUGACAUGCAGGCCCCAGUGCUGGGGGCAGAGAGCAGAACACUUUUGAUUUGCAGGGGAGCAUGAAAGGCAGCGCACACUCUGCCUGGGAUUUGCCCUCACGGCCUUCAUGCUCAUCACACUAAUUACAACGCGCCCUGCUGAGCACACCAUCCAGCCCGCCAGCGAGGGGCUGUUGUGGUCUCACCUAGUUCUCAUGGUGGCCCUUGCGGUUUUGCAGGAGAGGAAAAGGAAGCAUUCAAAGGCUGAGGCACCUGUUCAGGCAUCCUCUGGCCAUCAGCAGCAAGGCUGGGGUUCAAGGCUCAGCACGCCACAUCAAGGAAGGGUUCCCACCUUCCUCCCUGGAGUCUUCUUCCCCAAUAGCAGCCAGAGAGAGAGCAUGUCAUUCUCCUGCUACCAGGUCCUACACAAAUUGGCCUCCUGAUGCCUCAGUGACCUCAGCUCCUUCCACUCUCCCAUUCCCCCCAAAGCCCAAACACACACAGGCCCCACCUGGGGGGUCACUCCCCCGGACACAUCCUUCAAGAGAAUCAAUCACGUGGCUUGCUCCUCCCAGAACACUCUAUCUAAAACUGCUGCCUCGCCCCCACUGGGAAGUAAGUCCCAGGAGAGCAAGAUCGUGGACUGUGUUGCCAGUUCUGCAUCUCUGUGUCUAGAACAGCGCCUGGUACAUGGCAGGCACUUAAUAAAUCCUUGAUGCUUGACUGGCUGAAUCAGUAAGUGAAGCGGGAACACAGCCCAGCAC